rnacentral:tRNA from 1 species
GAUAUAGCUCAGUUGGUAGAGUGCUUGCCUCACAUGCAUAAGGCCCUGGGUUCAAUCCCCAGCAUC